CAUCAGUCAAAUAAAACUGAGAUGGGAAGAAUUCUGCUCCAGGGUAGAGUUCUACGGUGUGUCAAAGAAGGCAAUGAAUCCACCAAUGACCAUGGACAAAACUGAAGCCCACCUUGCACUGAUGAAGGCUCUUCCAACGCUCUUUCCCACACCUGCCCAUCCACCAAAAAAGAUGGGGAAUGCUUCUGAAGCAUUUCUACAUGUCCUGAAGCCUACAGAAGAUCCAGAUGCUGUCCUCCAGAAACGAAGCUUGUCAUGUCCAGUAGUGAUGUUCGAUGGCUGCAAGUGUGUCAUUGCUGUUGGUAAUUUACCAGUUACAACAUUUGACAAAGAAAA